AAGUCGUAACAAGGUUUCCGUAGGUGAACCUGCGGAAGGAUCAUUACUGAAUUGAAAUGCGUUAGUUAGUUGAGCUGACUUCUCCCUUUAAUGGGGAGUGGUAUGUGCUCGCUAUAUCGCUUUUUCUAACUCUCCACUGUGCACCUCUAUUGUAGGCUAUGAGUGACUCUCAAGUAGACACACUCCCAUAACGCACCCUUUGUGCGCAGAAGGGGGGAAAGGGUCUAUUUGGGUUUAAGAAGGCUUAUCGGGCAUUCAUUUUGCUUGCUUUCGACUUUGUAGCCUAUGAUCCUACAACAAACUACUUUGAUAAAGUCUUGAUGAAUGAUAGAUUGGUCUUUUGAACCAAUAUAAAGUUAUACAA
rnacentral:misc_RNA from 1 species